AUAUGAUAUCUUAUUCAUACAUCCCUAACUAAAGCAUGAGUAUGCUUUAUACUUACCUCUUUUAAACAUUUUGUGUAACAGAAAAUGCUCGAAUAUUAAUCUUUUGCUACGGUCUUCUUAAUCUAGUUUUGUAUAACAAUACAAAAAGGCAUCGCCUUGAGAUUUUAAAUCAGUAAGGUGCUGUUAACUCGGCACCGCAUGAG
rnacentral:misc_RNA from 1 species